rnacentral:lncRNA from 1 species
AUCAAUUAGAAACCUUGUAGAGUCGAGUGGACCCAUAGGAUAUGAGAACUCAUUGAGAUUAUUAUCUCAUCCCAAUAUUAUUUCUUUUUUUUCCCAGGUUAUAUGCAAGAAGAUUGAUCAGUUGAUGUUUCAAAGGAUUCUGACUGUUGUGAUCUUCCGUUGUGGAUUAUGUGCAAUCGAAGAUAUUGUACACUACUCUUAGUUUUUAUUUAGCCGAUAUUGUAUAACAU